UCAGUUCUACUCCGUAUGUACUGUAGAUAUUGAUGAUUUAUCACUAUGAUCUGGUUCAGUCUUAUUUAGCAAAAUCAGCUUGGUUGUACUUUUUGUUGUUAGGACAUUUACAGUAAUAUAUUUCUGGUUUUUGGUGGCUUUUUCAAGUUUAUUUCACUCCAAUACCAUGUUAUUUUUUUAGAAUAACAAUGUAUGCAGUGGUUUUGUUCAAGGAAACUGAGGAGGUGGAAGUUGUACCAUCAGUUUGGUUGAAUGUGGAUAAACUUUUGUGCCUGUGGCCUUCUUAUAAAAGUACUGUAAGAGUUCGAAAAGCAGUGAGAGCUUCAGGAGACACCCACCGAGACAUGGGACAAACACGAAGUACGGGUGCUUCAUGAGACAGUGACAUAUGAGAAGGCGCGCAAGAAACUGAGAAGGGCAACCGAAACAUCCGAUCUGAACACCACAGAUGAUGAACAAACACGGAAGCGGAAACCCUCUACAAAGCUGUCAUUUCUAGAAGAUGAAGAAGAUUUUUCCAUAAGCAAGAAUGUGAGAUCAUCACAAAGGAUGCCACUCUUGCCAACUCCACCUUUGUUUCCAACAACAGUAGCAUCACCCAGCAGCAGCAGCAGCAGCAAGAACACCAGCAACAGUGAAGAUGGAAAUAUCAGCAGUGAUGACAGGAACUACAACAGCAACACCAGCAGCAAUGACACUGGAACUGGGAACAGGGACAAGAGCAGCUAUGUGCCUCUAUCAGACAGGGAUAGGAUGAUCUUCACCAUUUUAGAAGAAAUCAAGGGCCAGGGGAGACAAAACACCCUGAUGCUUCAGGCACUUCGCAA